CCUACGGGUGGCAGCAGUGGGGAAUAUUGCACAAUGGGGGAAACCCUGAUGCAGCAACGCCGCGUGAGUGAAGAAGGUUUUCGGAUUGUAAAGCUCUGUUAGCAGGGAAGAAAAAGAGCGGUACCUACUGAGCAAUCCACGCCUAACUACGUGCCAGCAGCCGCGGUAAUACGUAGGGGGGAAGCGUUGUUCGGAAUAACUGGGCGUAAAGGAUGCGGAGGCGGUUAAACAAGUCUGAUGUUAAAUACAUCGGCUCAACCUGUGGAAAGCAUAUAAACCUGUGUAACUAGAGUGCAGGAGAGGUAAGUGGAACUCCUAGUGUAGCGGUGAAAUGCGUAGAGAUUAGGAAGAACACCAGUGGCGAAGGCGACUUUCUGGACUGUAACUGACGCUGAGGCACGAGAGCAUGGGGAGCAAACAGGAUUAGAUACCCGGGUAGUC
rnacentral:rRNA from 1 species